rnacentral:rRNA from 1 species
AUUGAACGCUGGCGGAAUGCUUUACACAUGCAAGUCGAACGGCAGCACGGACUUCGGUCUGGUGGCGAGUGGCGAACGGGUGAGUAAUGUAUCGGAACGUACCUUUCAGUGGGGGAUAACGUAGCGAAAGUUACGCUAAUACCGCAUAUUCUGUGAGCAGGAAAGCAGGGGAUCUUCGGACCUUGCGCUUUUGGAGCGGCCGAUGUCGGAUUAGCUAGUUGGUGGGGUAAAGGCCCACCAAGGCGACGAUCCGUAGCGGGUCUGAGAGGAUGAUCCGCCACACUGGAACUGAGACACGGUCCAGACUCCUACGGGAGGCAGCAGUGGGGAAUUUUGGACAAUGGGCGCAAGCCUGAUCCAGCCAUGCCGCCGUGAGUGAG